CCUACGGGAGGCAGCAGUGGGGAAUAUUGCACAAUGGGCGCAAGCCUGAUGCAGCCAUGCCGCGUGUAUGAAGAAGGCCUUCGGGUUGUAAAGUACUUUCAGCGGGGAGGAAGGGAUGACGUUUAAUACGCGCCGUCAUUGACGUUACCCGCAGAAGAAGCACCGGCUAACUCCGUGCCAGCAGCCGCGGUAAU
rnacentral:rRNA from 1 species